rnacentral:rRNA from 1 species
CCUACGGGAGGCAGCAGUGGGGAAUUUUGGGCAAUGGGCGCAAGCCUGAUCCAGCCAUGCCGCGUGGGUGAAGAAGGCCUUAGGGUUGUAAACCCCUUUCAGCGGGGAAGAUAAUGACGGUACCCGCAGAAGAAGUCCCGGCUAACUCCGUGCCAGCAGCCGCGGUAAU